UACGGGGGGGCAAGCGUUGUUCGGAAUUACUGGGCGUAAAGGGCGUGUAGGCGGCCAACUAAGUCCGACGUGAAAUCCCCAGGCUUAACCUGGGAACUGCGUCGGAUACUGGAUGGCUUGAAUCCGGGAGAGGGAUGCAGAAUUCCAGGUGUAGCGGUGAAUGCGUAGAUAUCUGGAGGAAUACCGGUGGCGAAGGCGGCAUCCUGGACCGGCAUUGGACGCUGAAGCGCGAAAGCUAGGGGAGCAACGGG
rnacentral:rRNA from 1 species